ACUAAGUGCAUCGAAGCAAAACGUUGAUAGUAGUUCUGAGCUUAGGCAUCUUGUUAUCACACACGCAAACACACAUUAGUUACUACCUGCGAUUAGUUGGUGAUUUUUUUUUUAACAAAAAGUAUCGGAAGCGUUGUUGCUGUUGAACAUUUUGGACCCAGAAAACUGAACAUGGUUAUGAAAGUAGCAACCGUCGUGGUUUUGACCCUGUGGGUUACGGCUUUAUCACAGAAAAUAGAUUUUUGCCAAAUCUUGUGCCAAGGAAAAGGGUCAUCAACUUCUUGUGAGUCGUUACUCGUUGGCUAUAAGCCUGAUGAUUCUUUGCCGAUUCUGAACCUGUAUUGUUGCUUGAGUAAUAAAUAUGUCAAAGAAUUAACCGACUACUGGAAGACACUAACUAAAGGUUUCCAAGAUCAUCUUUUAAAGUAUGAAAAGAACGCAACCCAAUUGGAAUAUUACGCUCGUUGUAUCUACAGGUGCUCCAAAGGCAACGGUCUAUUAUCUAAACGUUACUGCGACGACCACAUGUACGAUUGUCAAAGAAAUAUUUGUCAAAGAGAUCCAUAAUUUUAACCCAGGACUGGCCAAUAAUGAUCUUAUUUAUUAUGGCCAUCCAUAUUUAUACUCUUUAUUGUCACAGUGACAUGAACAUUAUAUUAUUCAGUAUUCGGGUAGACAACGUCGGUGGAAAAAGUCUAGUGAAAGUGAGUCGUACUAUUACUGUAGAAGUUACAGCUUAACGUUAUAGACGUUUCAUAUAAAAACACAAUCAAAAAUUUACAAUUUUUUUAUGUUUAAUAUCUGUAGUCAUACAAUAAAAUGUAAAACAAAUA